rnacentral:lncRNA from 1 species
GCCGGCUUUCUGCAAUCGCCCCCUAGGCCCCUCCGCUCUGCCGAGAGAAGCUCGGCCCCGCCCCUCUGCGGAGCUCCAGUCCGGCCCCGCCCCUCUGCGGAGCUCCGCUCCGGCCCCGCCCCUCUGCGGAGCUCCGCUCCGGCCCCGCCCUUCCGCAGAGCCGGGCUUGGGUUCCACCCCUCUGCAGAGGCCUGGGCAGGCCCCGCCCCCUGCGGAGCCCUGCUCUUCAGGCCCCGCCCCUCUGCAGAGCUCUACGCAGGGUCCUCCCUCCGCUGGCUCCGCCCCUUUGCGGUAGAAGCCGGGGCGGAGCUCCCCAGCCCUCACUGCGGUCUUUCUUUCCUGUGGCCUCGGCCGGUGAGGUCAUGUCUUUUCGAGCUCCGCCACACGUGGGGGGUGAAACCAGCUGGUGGCCCCCAUGAGAAGUAUGAGAGAUCGUUCAUGACAAGGAAUUUCAGCUUACAAAGAGAUCAGAAGCACAGAAGGCUUUGAUCCUAGUGGAAGAACAGUGAUGAAAAACCCAGGAAUCUCCCCCCUCCAUGAAACUGAGUGGCAGAGUGAUUUGAAAUGGGUAUAAGAUGGAACUUCUGGUACUGGGAAGAACUGAUUGCUGGAUGAAGAAUAAUUACUAGUCCAAGUUGGGUUCUCUCUACUGUAUACAAUCAUUCCCUGAGGGGUUUGGGUGGCUAAUCAUGCAAAUUAAAAGGAUCUAAUAGGAUUUGCUACUUGAUAAGUGAAAGUAAUUACUCAUCUCCCUGUUGACUUGAUUAUUGUGAUUUUAAACAAAAAUUCUCUUUCUGUUAUAAUGAGCAACUGAAAUGUAAAUGCUAAAUAAAACUAGUAUAAAACUCCUUGUUUUGUGGUUUUGGGUGAUUUAUAAUAACAUGGGUAGGAAUUGUAAAGACAAUGAAGAACAUAACAGCGUCCCCAUUUCUAGGCCUGAAUUCUGUUAAUUUUAUUUCAUUUGACUCCAUAGCAAUGAGUUUUCUUUAGAAUAUCCACGCCUUGAAUUAAAAACCCAAAGCAAGCCAGGAGAAUGACCCAAAGGAGAAGGCUUUUGUAUCCAAUUGUGUACAAAAAAUAUGGCCAAAUGUCUGAGGAUUUCUAUGAAAGAAAACAACCUCCUAAGAGCAACUAAUUAAGGGCUUGAAGGGGAGAU